rnacentral:rRNA from 1 species
UUCGUAGCUGGUUUGUUAAGUCUCUGGGGAAAUCUGCCGGCUCAACCGGCAGGCGUUCCAGGGAUACUGGCAGACUAGGGACCGGGAGAGGUGAGGGGUACUCCAGGGGUAGGAGUGAAAUCCUGUAAUCCUUGGGGGACCACCUGUGGCGAAGGCGCCUCACCAGAACGGCUCCGACAGUGAGGACGAAAGCUGGGGGAGCAAACCG